AGUUUUCCUGCCCAGUGUAUUUAACGGCGGCGGUAUUUUGACCGUACGAAGGUAGCAUAAUAGAUUGACUUUUAAAUGAAGUCUGGAAUGAAAGGAAGGAUGAAAAAUUGAUUGUCUCAAAAAGUGAAUUUAAAUUAAGAGUAAAAAUGCUUUUAUGUAAUUAUUGGACGAGAAGACCCUAAGAAUUUUAUAAAAUUAUUUAUUGUAAAAAAAAUAUCUGUUUUUAUUUUGCUGGGAGGGCAAUUAAAUUUAACUUUAAUAUGAAUUUACAAUGAUUAUUGGAUUUUUGAUUAUUAUUAUAAUUAUUAGAAUAAAUUACCUUAGGGAUAACAGCUUAAUAUUUUUGGAGAGUUCUUAUCGAUAAAGAUGUUUAGGACCUCGAUGUUGAAUUAUGGUAUUAUUUAGGUGUAGAUAUUUAUAUAAUUAGUCUGUUCGACUAUUAAAAUCGUAC
rnacentral:rRNA from 1 species